AAGGUAGCUUUACUGGAAAGUGUAACUUGAUUACCUUCUCUUUAAGGUGAAGACGAAUUAAAACCAAUUUUAUUGACUUUUUUGUAUUUUUAUUUUGAUUAAAAAGUUUUUAUAUUAUUAAAUAUGUAUCUUAAAUCUAAUACAGCGGCAAUUGAGUAUUUUUAAAAUUGAGAUUAUGUUGUAAUAUAUUAUAAAUAUGCUUUAAUAUAUAAAUCGACCUAAUGUUUUUUUAUUCUUAUUAAUUAUGACUUAGGACAACUUAACAAAUUGGGACCAGGAUGAGUUGAACAUCCGACCUCAGGUUUAUCAGAC
rnacentral:misc_RNA from 1 species